rnacentral:misc_RNA from 1 species
GGAAGUAAAAGUCUAACAAGGUCUCCGUUGGUGAACCAGCGGAGGGAUCAUUACUGAGUGUAAAAACUCCCAAACCCCUGUGAACAUACCAUCUGUUGCUUCGGCGGGAUCGCCCCGGGCGCCUUUGCGUGCCCCGGAUCCAGGCGCCCGCCGGAGGACUCCAAACUCUUGUUUUAUAUGUGGCAUUAUCUGAGUGGCUUAUAGCAAAUAAAUCAAAACUUUCAACAAUGGAUCUCUUGGCUCUG